CCUACGGGGGGCUGCAGUAGGGAAUAUUGCGCAAUGGAGGAAACUCUGACGCAGCGACGCCGCGUGAGUGAUGAAGGCCUUCGGGUCGUAAAGCUCUGUCGUGGGGGAAGAUGAUGACGGUACCCCACAAGAAAGGACCGGCUAACUUCGUGCCAGCAGCCGCGGUAAUACGAGGGGUCCUAGCGUUGUUCGGAAUCAUUGGGCGUAAAGCGGGUGUAGGCGGCCAUUCAAGUCAGAUGUGAAAUCCCUGGGCUUAACCUAGGAAGUGCGUUUGA
rnacentral:rRNA from 1 species